rnacentral:rRNA from 1 species
UACAGAGGUCCCAAGCGUUGUUCGGAUUCACUGGGCGUAAAGGGUGCGUAGGUGGUGGGGUAAGUCGGAUGUGAAAGCUCGGAGCUCAACUCCGAAAUGGCAUUGGAAACUACCCUGCUAGAGGAUUGGAGGGGGGACUGGAAUACUUGGUGUAGCAGUGAAAUGCGUAGAUAUCAAGUGGAACACCAGUGGCGAAGGCGAGUCCCUGGACAAUACCUGACACUGAGGCACGAAAGCUAGGGGUGCAAACAGG